rnacentral:rRNA from 1 species
AAGAGUGCGUAAUAGCUCACUGGUCGAGCGGGUAAGCGCCGAAAAUACUCGGGGCUGAAGCUACCCACCGAAGCUAUGGGUACUAAGCGAAAAGAGCUUAGUGCGGUAGGGAAGCAUUCUGCGGUAGGGAGAAGCCGAAGGCGCAAGCCACGGUGGACGAGGCAGAAGGGAGAAUGCCGGAAUAAGUAGCGCGAGGCAGGUGAGAAGCCUGCCCGUCGGAAGCCCAAGGAUUUCUGGGGAAGGCAAAUCCGCCCAGAGUAAGCCGGGGCCUAAGGCGAGGCCGAGAGGCGUAGCUGAUGGAUAUCAGGUUGAUAAUCCUGAGCCACCUGCCGGAGGGCAACUUACGAGGCGGGACACAGGAGGAGCAGGCAACCGAGGGGUUGGUAGACCUCGGCCAAGCGGUGAGCGAGUGUGUGCAGGCAAAUCCGCACACAUGACAAAGUGAGCCGUGAAGGGGAGCCGAAGAUAUAGUAGGCGAAGUGCUGGAGCUUCAGGCUGUCGAGAAAAGCGUCGCGUAAGCGAAGGCAGGUGCCCGUACUGUAAACCGACACAGGUGGGCGAGGAGAGGAUCCACAGACGGACGGGAGAAGCAUUGCUAAGGAACUCGGCAAAAAGACCCCGUAACUUAGGGAGAAGGGGUGCCCUACAUGGAGAAGAUGUAGGGUCGCAGAGAAUAGGCCCAAGCGACUGUUUAGCAAAAACACAGGUCUCUGCGAAGCCGGAAGGCGAAGUAUAGGGGCUGACGCCUGCCCGGUGCUGGAAGGUUAAGGGGAGAGGUGAUGAGCUUCGAACCGAAGCCCCAGUGAACGGCGGCCGUAACUAUAACGGUCCUAAGGUAGCGAAAUUCCUUGUCGGGUAAGUUCCGACCCGCACGAAUGGCGUAACGACUUGGGCGCUGUCUUAGCGAUGCACCCGGCGAAAUUGUGGUACCAGUGAAGACGCUGGUUACCUGCGGUUGGACAGAAAGACCCCGUGGAGCUUUACUGUAGCCUGGCACUGUGUUUUGGUGUAUCUUGUACAGGAUAGGUGGGAGGCGAAGAAGGGGAGGCGCCAGCUUCUCUGGAGCCGACGGUGGGAUACCACUCUGGAUAUACCGGAGCACUAACCAUAGCCUCUGAAUCGAGGUAUGGGACACUGCCAGGUGGGCAGUUUGACUGGGGCGGUCGCC